GUUUUACCCUUAUCUGCACUUUCAUUUCCGGUGCCGUAGCAAAGUUUCUCACAUGUUGUAUCGAUAUAUGCCGCUUUUGUCUCUGUAUAAGUGAAUGUAGUAUAUCGGAGAGCCACUCGUUCCUGGGAUUUCUAGGAGAACCAUGUUUCUUUUACCUGCCACAGACGAUGCCGUGACAUCUGUUACAGCGCCCCUCUCAGCACCAGUGAAAGUUAGUUUUGAAUCUGCUGGCCGUUGGUUCGAAGCGCUGCGAUUACGAAGACGCCACAAGCAUUCCCUUUCCCAUCAUUCCCUGCAGAGUAGCAGCAGUGAGGAAAGUGACAAUGAAGAAAUAGAAGAGGAAGACAACUUAAUUCUCUUACAAGGCCUAGAUCCCAAAGAAUGGAAGCAACAAGACCACUAUGCGGUCCUUGGAAUAAGCAAACUGAGAUAUAAAGCCACAGAAAAUCAAAUCAAAAAGGCUUACAAAAGUAUGGUACUGAAACAUCACCCUGACAAAAGGAAAGCCAGGGGUCUGAAGGUGGGGGAUGGAGAGGAUGACUAUUUCACCUGUAUAACCAGAGCAUAUGAAAUUCUGGGUAACAAACUGAAGCGGCGAUCGUACGACAGUGUGGACCCCCAGUUUGAUAAUGACGUCCCACCAGCUGACGAGGAAUCAAAGAAAAAUUUUUUCAAAGUGUUUGGGCCUGUAUUUGAGAGAAAUUCAAGGUGGUCCAACAGAAGAACCGCCCCUAGUUUGGGCACAGACUCCACAUCUAUAGAAGAUGUCAACAGAUUCUACACUUUCUGGUAUGAUUUUGAUUCGUGGAGGGAGUAUUCCUAUUUGGAUGAGGAGGAAAAAGAAAAAGGAGAGAAUCGUGAAGAAAGGAGAUGGAUAGAAAAACAAAAUAAAGCAGCUCGACAAAGGUUAAAAAAGGAAGAAACAGCUCGUAUCAGACAGCUAGUCGACAAUGCGUAUGCCUGUGAUCCUCGAGUAAUUCGUUACAGAGAAGAGGAGAAAGAGAAGAAGGAAGCCCAGAAACGUGCCAAAAAAGAAGCAGCCCGACAGAAAGCUCUGGAGGAGGAGAGGGUAGGUCUUAAAAAGGACACAAGGGAGGAGGUGUUGGGGGGUCAUAAGGUCAAGGCCAAGAGAGGAGAUCAUAAGAUCAGGGCAUAAUAGAGAGGUCAGAAGAAGGAAACAAAUGGUUUGAGUGGGGGGGGUGACAAAGAAAGAAUAUUGGGAGAUGGAUUGUUGUGUAAUGAUUUUGGUGAUGGGGUUUUGUUGUAAGAGUGUAUUUAGUUACUAUAUGGAAUAUACAGUAAAACACUGUUAUAAUAGUGAACACGCUUAUAAUGAAUUGAUGAUUACAGCAAAGUGAUUUUUAUUCCCUGUGACUGUAUUUCGUGUUGUAAACGUGAUGGAUAUAACGAAUUUCACUUAUAAUGAAGUAGAAUCGCCCAUUCAUGGCACUUCCUUAAAAGCGUGUUUCACUGUAUUACUUCUGCUAUGUGAAAUUUGUGUUGAGAAUACCUGGUUUAAAUGUAAAUGUCAAGCUUUUGACAAGGUUACGUCUAUACAUCAGAUUAGAUUUACUCAUUCUUUCUUUCUAUUCCUCUUUCAGAUAAAACAAGAAGCUUUAGAUGAGGAGAGAAAGAAGAAGGAGAAAGAGGAGGAGGAAGCUAAAGCUCAGGCUGCCAUUGCCAAGAAAGAAAAAGAAGCUCAGAAGAGGUUACUAAAGAAGGAACGCAAAACUCUCAGAACUGUUGCUAAGGACAAGAACUAUUUUACCGAUGCAGAGGAUGAAAAGGUUACCAACAUGGCAGAUGUUGAUAGACUAGCAGACCAGCUUUCCCUGCUUCAACUGCAAACACUGAAUGAAGCCAUGGCAGCAGAUGAGGGAAGCAGGGCUAAAGAAGCAUUUUCUGAAGCAGUACAGGAACUGAAUAAACAGAUUGAGGAAGAGAAACAGAGACACCUGGAGGCCUUACAGAAGCAAUCAGGGGGAGAUAACUCCCAGGGAUCUAAGAAGAGCUGGAGUGAGGCAGAGAUUCAGUGUAUGAUAAAAGCUGUCAACCUCUUCCCUGCAGGGACGAAAGAGAGAUGGGAAGUGAUAGCCAAUUUUAUUCAUCAGCAUGUUCCUACCAGUAACAAAAACGCAAAAGAUGUCCUCCACAAAGCCAAGGAGCUGCAGAAAAAUGAUGUGUUCUUGAAACAAAAUGCUGAUAAGAAGGCUUUUGAGAACUUUGAGAAAAAUGUGAAGUCUGCAAAUGUCCAAGCCAAUCCCAAGGAGGGAGUGGUCAGUGAGAGGUUCGAGAGUGUAGGUGAGCAACAGGUGAGAGAACAGGGGACAAACCCCGCCCCGUGGUCCCCCGAGGAACAAAAACUUCUGGAGCAGGCCCUAAAGUCAUACCCUGCUAGCACAGCUGACCGCUGGGACAGGAUUAGUGAGUGCAUCAGCACCCGGAGUAAAAAGGACUGCAUGAAACGCUACAAGGAACUUGUGGAAAUGGUUAAAGCUAAGAAAGCGGCACAAGAUGCAACAACCAAGAAAAAAUAACAGCAGCUGUAUGAAAGAGACUAAGGUGUUAAAAUGAUUGAAAAUGAAGAUUCAGCAAUGGUUAAAGUGUACUUGACAUAAAACACUGUUUACAGAAAUAUGAUCCAAUUGAAGCAAGAUUAUCCUACUCUUCAUGUUACAAGUUCCAUAACACCAAAUUCACAGUUGAUUCAGUUCAAGAUAUUUGAAUUUGGACAGAAUCAUUUUCAUAUGCAUCUUUACUUUUCUCUGCUGAAUAGUAAAGGUAUUGGAUUUGUGAUAUCAGAUGCAAAUAUUGCGUUAAAAUCUACAUUAUGAACCUGUUUACUAUGCUAAAUUUUAAACUUACAAUGUUGCAUUUGUUUGACUAAUUGCCAAAUAAACUGUUUAAAAAA
rnacentral:misc_RNA from 1 species